rnacentral:rRNA from 1 species
GACGAACGCUGGCGGCGUGCCUAAUACAUGCAAGUCGAGCGGAUGAAAGACGAGCUUGCUCCUCCUGAUUCAGCGGCGGACGGGUGAGUAACACGUGGGCAACCUGCCCUGUAGAUUGGGAUAACUCCGGGAAACCGGGGCUAAUACCGAAUAAUCCUUCGGACCUCAUGGUCCGAUGUUGAAAGACGGCAUCUCGCUGUCACUACAGGAUGGGCCCGCGGCGCAUUAGCUAGUUGGUGAGGUAACGGCUCACCAAGGCCACGAUGCGUAGCCGACCUGAGAGGGUGAUCGGCCACACUGGGACUGAGACACGGCCCAGACUCCUACGGGAGGCAGCAGUAGGGAAUCUUCCACAAUGGACGAAAGUCUGAUGGAGCAACGCCGCGUGAGUGAAGAAGGUUCUCGGAUCGUAAAACUCUGUUGUGAGGGAAGAACAAGUACCGGAGUAACUGCCGGUGCCUUGACGGUACCUCAUUAGAAAGCCACGGCUAACUACGUGCCAGCCGCCGCGGUAACAC